CGGAGGGUGCAAGCGUUGUCCGGAUUUAUUGGGUUUAAAGGGUGCGUAGGCGGCCCUGUAAGUCAGUAUUAAAAGACGGUAGCUUAACUAUCGGUUGGGUAUUGAUACUGCAGGGCUUGAGUUGAGACGAGGUAGGCGGAAUUGAUAAUGUAGCGGUGAAAUGCGCAGAUAUCAGGAAGAACACCGAUGGCGAAGGCAGGUCUCUGGGCCAUUACUGACACUGAGAAGCGAAAGCAUGGGUAGCGAACAGGAUUAGAUACCCUGGUAGUCCAUGCCGUACACGUUGGGCACUAGAUGUGGGGGACAUUCCACGUUUUCCGCGUCGUAGCUAACGCAUUAAGUGCCCCGCCUGGGGAGUACGGCCGCAAGGCUAAAACUCAAAGGAAUUGACGGGGGCCCGCACAAGCGGCGGAGCAUGCUGAUUAAUUCGAUGCAACGCGAAGAACCUUACCAAGGCUUGACAUGCACCGGACGACUCCAGAGAUGGGGUUUUCUUCGGACUGGUGCACAGGUGGUGCAUGGUUGUCGUCAGCUCGUGUCGUGAGAUGUUGGGUUAAGUCCCGCAACGAGCGCAACCC
rnacentral:rRNA from 1 species